AUUGAACGCUGGCGGCAAGCCUAACACAUGCAAGUCGAACGAGGGGCGGACGGGAGAGUAAUGUCUGGGAAACUGCCUGAUGGAGGGGGAUACAUACUGGAAACGGUAGCUAAUACCGCAUACCAUCGGAUGUGCCCAGAUGGGAUUAGCUAGUAGGUGGGGUAAAAGCUCACCUAGGCGACGAUCCCUAGCUGGUCUGAGAGGCUGACCAGCCACCCUGGAACUGAGACGCGGUCCAGACUCCUACGGGAGGCAGCAGUGGGGAAUAGUGCACAAUGGGCGCAAGCCUGAUGCAGCCAUGCCGCGUGUAUGAAGAAGGCCUUCGGGUUGUAAAGUACUUUCAGCGGGGAGGCGUUACCCGCAGAAGAAGCACCGGCUAACUCCGUGCCAGCAGCCGCGGUAAUUC
rnacentral:rRNA from 1 species